GGGGAUGGGCAGCUCCUCAGCCGCCUGCGCCUGAAGUGCGGGGUAGGCCCAAGUCACUUGCCAUCCUUGCCCUCCUCGUGGCCCUGCUUCAGGCCUCGCCGCGCAGUUGCCCCAUGCUGCAGGAGAUUCAGAGUGAUGGAAUUCAUGGCGUGGCAAGCAGAGGAGCUCGGCUGGACUUUCUGCCUUGAUUGUGCAUUUGGCUGGGUAAUCUUGUCCAGUGAACAGCUUGUUCAUUUCUACAGUGCAGUCCUCAUAACAAAGCAUUCAUACAGCUGUGCCCGUGGAGUCCUGAAGAAACCAUUGGAUCCCUCUGCUGGAGUUACAGACAGUUGUGAGCCACUUGAUUGGGUGCUGGGAACCAAACUCUGGUCCUUUGCGAGAGCAGCAAGAACAC